rnacentral:rRNA from 1 species
UACGAAGGGGGCUAGCGUUGCUCGGAAUCACUGGGCGUAAAGGGUGCGUAGGCGGGUCUUUAAGUCAGGGUGAAAUCCUGGAGCUCAACUCCAGAACUGCCUUGAUACUGAAGAUCUUGAGUUCGGGAGAGGUGAGUGGAACUGCGAGUGUAGAGGUGAAAUUCGUAGAGUAUUCGCAAGAACACCAGUGGCGAAGGCGGACUCUCUGGACCGG